GACAGAGGCCUCGAGCGUUAGGCGGAAUCACCGGGCUUAAAGCGUGUGUAGGCGGGCCCGUAAGUGUCUUGUGAAAUCCCACGGCUCAACCGUGGAACUGCUGGGCAUACUGCGGGUCUUGGGCCAACUAGGGGCAGCCGGAACAAGCGGUGGAGCGGUGAAAUGCGUAGAUAUCGCUUGGAACGCCGAAGGUGAAAACAGGCUGCUGGGGUUGCGCCGACGCUGAGACACGAAGCCAGGGAGCAAACGGG
rnacentral:rRNA from 1 species